rnacentral:SRP_RNA from 1 species
GCCGGGCAUGGUGGCGGGUGCCUGUAAUCCCAGCUACUUGGGAGGCUGAGGCAGGAGAAUCGCUUGAACCUGGGAGGCGGAGGUUGCAGUGAGCCAAGAUCAUGCCACUGCACUCCAGCCUGGGCGACAGAGCGAGAUUCUGUCUUAA